GUAGGGAAUAUUGGGCAAUGGUCGGAAGACUGACCCAGCCAUGCCGCGUGCAGGAAGACGGCCCUCUGGGUUGUAAACUGCUUUUAUCUGGGAAGAAAAAGGCCAUGCGUGGCAAAUUGCCGGUACCAGAUGAAUAAGCACCGGCUAACUCCGUGCCAGCAGCCGCGGUAAUACGGGGGGUGCGAGCGUUGUCCGGAUUUAUUGGGUUUAAAGGGUGCGUAGGCGGCUGAUUAAGUCAGCGGUGAAAGACUUCGGCUUAACCGGAGCAGUGCCGUUGAUACUGGUUGGCUUGAGUGUCGGAGGGGUACAUGGAAUUGAUGGUGUAGCGGUGAAAUGCAUAGAUACCAUCAGGAACACCGAUAGCGAAGGCAUUGUACUGGCCGACAACUGACGCUGAUGCACGAAAGUGUGGGGAUCGAACAGGAUUAGAAACCCCUGUAGUCC
rnacentral:rRNA from 1 species